rnacentral:piRNA from 1 species
ACAAUGCCCGUCGUCUGACUGGG